GCCUUCGGGAACCGUGAGACAGGUGCUGCAUGGCUGUCGUCAGCUCGUGUUGUGAAAUGUUGGGUUAAGUCCCGCAACGAGCGCAACCCUUAUCCUUUGUUGCCAGCGGUCCGGCCGGGAACUCAAAGGAGACUGCCAGUGAUAAACUGGAGGAAGGUGGGGAUGACGUCAAGUCAUCAUGGCCCUUACGACCAGGGCUACACACGUGCUACAAUGGCGCAUACAAAGAGAAGCGACCUCGCGAGAGCAAGCGGACCUCAUAAAGUGCGUCGUAGUCCGGAUUGGAGUCUGCAACUCGACUCCAUGAAGUCGGAAUCGCUAGUAAUCGUGGAUCAGAAUGCCACGGUGAAUACGUUCCCGGGCCUUGUACACACCGCCCGUCACACCAUGGGAGUGGGUUGCAAAAGAAGUAGGUAGCUUAACCUUCGGGAGGGCGCUUACCACUUUGUGAUUCAUGACUGGGGUGAAGUCGUAACAAGGUAACCGUAGGGGAACCUGCGGUUGGA
rnacentral:rRNA from 1 species